ACUUCGUCUUCACUUCAUCAACACACGAACCCUAAAACCUCGUCCUCACUUCAUCACUUCAUCACUUCAUCACUUCAUCAACACACGAGCCCUAAACCCUCGUCCUCACUUCUUCACUUCAUCAACACACGAGCCGUAAACUCUACCAUCAUCAACCCUCGUCCUCACUUCAUCACAACCUAGUAGCCUACUCGUAGAAUGAAGCAAAAGGAAGAAGACAUUGCAAAUCAUAGCCUAAUCGUAGAAAGCAGCAGAAGGAAGAAGACAUUGCAACUGAUUUUUUCCAGAGAAGUAAGGAGAAAAGCAUAAAAGUAAAAGCCACAAGCAUAAGGAUUCAUCAAUUUCCAUUCCCCCUUGGAAGGUUCAUUGAUAGGGAAAAUGAACUUAGACAAUCAAAACCACCCACCCCACAGCUACCACAAAGACCAGCCAUGGAUCCCUGGACAAAGUCUCGACUCAGUGGUCAUUUGUGUACACAAUCACCUCUGCUAUUAUCAUCAGGAGUAUAUGAUACAUUGCAGAAGAAAUAUCUGAAAACACUCUUAUUCUCUGUGUGUGAAGCAAUAGAUGGGCCCAUAUGAUUGAGGAAUAUGCUUGCCUUCCAUAAUUCUUAUAUACAUGUGCCAAUGUGGGUUCUAUGUCUAUAGCAUCGUUGCCCUCCUUGUCUGGGAAACUCGAACGAAAUAUUUUGCAGUAAUGAUGUCUCAUCAUAUAGUCACUGUCAUACUGAUUUCAUACUCAUACAUUACAAGCCGGCGUGGUUUCGGCGACUGAGACGGGGCUCGAAGUUUUAACUGUGAAAUGCAGAGGCUUUGUGGCAGUUGUCACACAGUGGUGGGCCCAAAUCCUACCCCGAGCGUCCUAACGUGGCUGAUUGUAUCUAUUACUUGGGGACUGGCUUGUGCGGCUAUGGUGCUCGCUGUCGGUUCAACCAAGGCCUAAUUGGGUUGAUCUUAAUGUUCACUUGGGGUUUAGUGUAGAUCUGUUGAUAAUUGGGUUGAUCUUAAUGUUCAAAGAAGGGACUUGGGCUCACGAACACUAUUGAUAACUGCAACAACCCGGGUUCCACUUGAGCAAGUAGGGCAUGGAUUGACACCAACACCAAUCGCGAAAACUAGAGAAUGAUCAACACUCAGCGGGGCGUUUGCAGGGUAGAGUUUCGAAUUCAAGCUUCUGAGGGAGUCCGUGAAAGAAAUUGUCACUGGCGUGGUGUCCGCGAAAGUAAUGCCUAACUGCAUUCACAUAUUUGAUCUUGUAUACUAAAGUUUGCUUGCUAUAGAGAUGGCAAAGUUCAUAACUUGGGAUGGUGAAGAGUUCAUUCAAGCAACAACAUGAACUUGAGAAGAGGCGGGUUGAGGCUGGCCGGAUUCGGGAAAAAUGAUUAUGAAUCCCGACAUGCAUCAGGGAAGGUCCCAUACAUGACUGGACCAGGCCUGAAAUCAAGUCCAUUUACGACUCCCCGCUUCUCGAUCUCCUCUUUCACGGCGCUCAAGUUCAUAGGCAUGGUCUCAACUUCCAGGAGGUACAGCAGUGCACUCUUCUGCAAAAGAGGCUGGUAGCACUUGAUUUUGUAUUGGUGCUGCAUGCAGGGAUACUAUAGGAAGGAAAACCAAUUUAAUAUAAUUUUCUGCCUGUGAAGUUGAAACUGAUGCUACAAUUGGUUCUCUGGCAUUAAUUCUUCAAAGGAGAAUUGAUUUUUCCAAUCUCAUGAUUGUAUGUGGGACUUUGAAGAACUUUUCAAAGAGCACUUCAAGAGGCGCGGUUAUUACAUUCUCAAAGCAUGUGAUGCCUAUAUUGAGAAAUUUGCUCCCUUGGAUGAGUGAAGAGGCCAAAGGGAGCUCCAUACAUCAACCAAGGUGUGGGAUGCGCGGAAAUUAUAUUGCUGAUAAUAGGCAUGGAGAUGAUGAAGGAUUUUGUUCAUGGAGCAUGUAUGAAAUAGAAGGUUUUUGUGAAAGAUCUUUUGAAAUUACAGUGUCUGACAUGUAUCAGGUAUUAGUGUUUCUUACAGUACUAAAAAAUUUGGAAUUUCUUUACAUUGUACUCAGUUGACAUUGACCAAUCUGGCUAUUCAUUUAGUCUUAUAAUUACAGAGUAGUUUUUGUUUUCUUUUUGAAAUGAGGUUGGCUUAAGUGUUGACAUCCCCUCUUAUAUAUGGUUGUGUAAUUUUCUAUUUGAGAUUCCCAUGUGUAUUAACCUAUUAGAUUUUUGGUUUAGAAGUAUUAUUUUUGUUCCAUUUUGUCAUGGACUCUCAUAGAUGGAAAGCAACGUUCAUCCUCUCGUGGUGCUGAAAUUUGUAUAAUUGUAACAUGUCAAAUUCAUUUGAUAUUUGUAGAAUUUUAUAUUUUAUUUUUUU